GUUGAACGCUGGCGGCGUGCCUAACACAUGCAAGUCGAGCGAAUAGAGGAGGCUUGCGCCUGGCUGACGCUACGGGCGGACGGGUGAGUAAUACGAGUCUAACCGGCCUAUAAGGCUAAGAUAAGUUCGCGAAACCGGAUAUAACAUCGGUCAAGAGAUUGAACCGCAGGGUUCUUCGGAGAAAGCCCUAUCUGCUGUGCCUAAUACGGAGUACCAAGCCGCAUUAGCUAGUUGGUACGGUAACGGCCUACCAAGGCGACGAUGCGUGGCUGACCUGAGAGGAUGAUCAGCCACACUGGAACUGAGACACGGUCCAGACUCCUACGGGAGGCAGCAGUAGGGAAUCUUCCGCAAUGGGCGAAAGCCUGACGGAGCAACGCCGCGUGUGUGAUGAAGGUCUUCGGAUCGUAAAGCUCUGUAAGUAGGGAGGAACGAAAGUAUGAGAAACUAUUCACGUCUUGACGGUACCUACACAGUAAGCCCCGGCUAACUACGUG
rnacentral:rRNA from 1 species